rnacentral:rRNA from 1 species
AGGGCGCACGGUGGAUGCCUUGGCACUAGAAGCCGAUGAAGGACGUGACUAACGACGAAAUGCUUUGGGGAGCUGUAAGUGAGCAAUGAUCCAGAGAUGUCCGAAUGGGGGAACCCGGCAGGUAAUGCCUGUCACUCAUUACUGUUAAGGUAAUGUAGAGGAAGACGCAGUGAACUGAAACAUCUAAGUAGCUGUAGGAAGAGAAAGCAAAAGCGAUUGCCUUAGUAGCGGCGAGCGAAACGGCAAGAGGGCAAACCGAAGAGUUUACUCUUCGGGGUUGUAGGACUGCAACGUGGACUUAAAGAUUAUAGAAGAACUACCUGGGAAGGUAGGCCAAAGAGAGUAAUAGCCUCGUAUUCGAAAUAGUCUUUAUACCUAGCAGUAUCCUGAGUACGGCGAGACACGAGAAAUCUCGUCGGAAUCUGGGAGGACCAUCUCCCAACCCUAAAUACUCUCUAGUGACCGAUAGUGAACCAGUACCGUGAGGGAAAGGUGAAAAGCACCCCGGGAGGGGAGUGAAAUAGAACCUGAAACCGUGUGCCUACAACAAGUUCGAGCCCGUUAAUGGGUGAGAGCGUGCCUUUUGUAGAAUGAACCGGCGAGUUACGAUAUGAUGCGAGGUUAAGUUGAAGAGACGGAGCCGUAGGGAAACCGAGUCUUAAUAGGGCGCAUUAGUAUCAUGUCGUAGACCCGAAACCAUGUGACCUACCCAUGAGCAGGUUGAAGGUGAGGUAAAACUCACUGGAGGACCGAACCAGGGCACGUUGAAAAGUGCUUGGAUGACUUGUGGGUAGCGGAGAAAUUCCAAACGAACUUGGAGAUAGCUGGUUCUCUCCGAAAUAGCUUUAGGGCUAGCGUCGAUGUUAAGUCUCUUGGAGGUAGAGCACUGUUUGGGUGAGGGGUCCAUCCCGGAUUACCAAUCUCAGAUAAACUCCGAAUGCCAAUGAGAUAUAAUCGGCAGUCAGACUGCGAGUGCUAAGAUCCGUAGUCGAAAGGGAAACAGCCCAGACCACCAGCUAAGGUCCCAAAAUAUAUGUUAAGUGGAAAAGGAUGUGGGGUUGCACAGACAACUAGGAUGUUAGCUUAGAAGCAGCUAUUCAUUCAAAGAGUGCGUAAUAGCUCACUAGUCGAGUGACCCUGCGCCGAAAAUGUACCGGGGCUAAAACAUAUUACCGAAGCUGUGGAUACCUUUAUAGGUAUGGUAGGAGAGCGUUCUAUGUGCGAAGAAGGUGUACCGUGAGGAGUGCUGGAGCGCAUAGAAGUGAGAAUGCCGGUAUGAGUAGCGAAAGACAGGUGAGAAUCCUGUCCACCGUAAGACUAAGGUUUCCAGGGGAAGGCUCGUCCGCCCUGGGUUAGUCGGGACCUAAGGAGAGACCGAAAGGUGUAUCCGAUGGACAACAGGUUGAUAUUCCUGUACUAGAGUAUAUAGUGAUGGAGGGACGCAGUAGGCUAACUAAACCAGACGAUUGGAAGUGUCUGGCCAAGCAGUGAGGUGUGAUAUGAGUCAAAUGCUUAUAUCUUUAACAUUGAGCUGUGAUGGGGAGCGAAGUUUAGUAGCGAAGUUAGUGAUGUCACACUGCCGAGAAAAGCUUCUAGCGUUAAUUAUACUCUACCCGUACCGCAAACCGACACAGGUAGUCGAGGCGAGUAGCCUCAGGUGAGCGAGAGAACUCUCGUUAAGGAACUCGGCAAAAUGGCCCCGUAACUUCGGGAGAAGGGGCGCUGACUGAUGGUCAGCCGCAGUGAAUAGGCCCAAGCAACUGUUUAUCAAAAACACAGCUCUCUGCUAAAUCGUAAGAUGAUGUAUAGGGGGUGACGCCUGCCCGGUGCUGGAAGGUUAAGAGGAGUGCUUAGCGUAAGCGAAGGCAUGAAUUGAAGCCCCAGUAAACGGCGGCCGUAACUAUAACGGUCCUAAGGUAGCGAAAUUCCUUGUCGGGUAAGUUCCGACCCGCACGAAAGGCGUAAUGAUUUGGGCACUGUCUCAACGAGAGACUCGGUGAAAUUUUAGUACCUGUGAAGAUGCAGGUUACCCGCGACAGGACGGAAAGACCCCAUGGAGCUUUACUGCAGUUUGAUAUUGAGUAUCUGUACCACAUGUACAGGAUAGGUAGGAGCCUAUGACCUCGGGACGCCAGUUUCGAGUGAGGCGUUGUUGGGAUACUACCCUUGUGUUAUGGCUACUCUAACCCAGAUAGGUUAUCCCUAUCGGAGACAGUGUCUGACGGGCAGUUUGACUGGGGCGGUCGCCUCCUAAAAGGUAACGGAGGCGCCCAAAGGUUCCCUCAGAAUGGUUGGAAAUCAUUCGCAGAGUGUAAAGGUAUAAGGGAGCUUGACUGCGAGAGCUACAACUCGAGCAGGGACGAAAGUCGGGCUUAGUGAUCCGGUGGUUCCGUAUGGAAGGGCCAUCGCUCAACGGAUAAAAGCUACCCUGGGGAUAACAGGCUUAUCUCCCCCAAGAGUUCACAUCGACGGGGAGGUUUGGCACCUCGAUGUCGGCUCGUCGCAUCCUGGGGCUGUAGUAGGUCCCAAGGGUUGGGCUGUUCGCCCAUUAAAGCGGCACGCGAGCUGGGUUCAGAACGUCGUGAGACAGUUCGGUCCCUAUCCGUCGCGGGCGUAGGAAAUUUGAGAGGAUCUGCUCCUAGUACGAGAGGACCAGAGUGGACUUACCGCUGGUGUACCAGUUGUUCUGCCAAGAGCAUCGCUGGGUAGCUAUGUAGGGAAGGGAUAAACGCUGAAAGCAUCUAAGUGUGAAGCCCACCUCAAGAUGAGAUUUCCCAUGAUUUU